rnacentral:rRNA from 1 species
UACGGAGGACCCAAGCGUUGUCCGGAUUUAUUGGGUUUAAAGGGUGCGUAGGCGGCUUCUUAAGUCAGUGGUGAAAGCCUUCAGCUUAACUGAAGAACUGCCAUUGAUACUGAUGAUCUUGAGUAUGAUUGAGGUGGGCGGAAUGUGUCAUGUAGCGGUGAAAUGCUUAGAUAUGACACAGAACACCGAUUGCGAAGGCAGCUCACUAAGCCAUAACUGACGCUGAUGCACGAAAGCGUGGGGAGCAAACAGG